rnacentral:rRNA from 1 species
UUGGUGACCAGCGGAGGGAUCAUUACCGAGUUUACAACUCCCAAACCCAAUGUGAACCAUACCAAACUGUUGCCUCGGCGGGGUCACGCCCCGGGUGCGUCGCAGCCCCGGAACCAGGCGCCCGCCGGAGGGACCAACCAAACUCUUUACUGUAGUCCCCUCGCGGACGUUAUUUCUUACAGCUCUGAGCAAAAAAUUCAAAAUGAAUCAAAACUUUCAACAACGGAUCUCUUGGUUCUGGCAUCGAUGAAGAACGCAGCGAAAUGCGAUAAGUAAUGUGAAUUGCAGAAUUCAGUGAAUCAUCGAAUCUUUGAACGCACAUUGCGCCCGCCAGUAUUCUGGCGGGCAUGCCUGUCCGAGCGUCAUUUCAACCCUCGAACCCCUCCGGGGGGUCGGCGUUGGGGAUCGGGAACCCCUCAGACGGGAUCCCGGCCCCGAAAUACAGUGGCGGUCUCGCCGCAGCCUCUCCUGCGCAGUAGUUUGCACAACUCGCACCGGGAGCGCGGCGCGUCCACGUCCGUAAAACACCCAACUUUCUGAAAUGUUGACCUCGGAUCAGGUAGGAAUACCCGCUGAACUUAAGCAUAUCAAUAAAGCGGAGG